rnacentral:rRNA from 1 species
GACGAACGCUGGCGGCGCGCCUAACACAUGCAAGUCGAACGAGCGAGAGAGAGCUUGCUUUCUCGAGCGAGUGGCGAAUGGGUGAGUAACGCGUGAGGAACCUGCCUCAAAGAGGGGGACAACAGUUGGAAACGACUGCUAAUACCGCAUAAGCCCACGACCCGGCAUCGGGUAGAGGGAAAAGGAGCAAUCCGCUUUGAGAUGGCCUCGCGUCCGAUUAGCUAGUUGGUGAGGUAACGGCCCACCAAGGCGACGAUCGGUAGCCGGACUGAGAGGUUGAACGGCCACAUUGGGACUGAGACACGGCCCAGACUCCUACGGGAGGCAGCAGUGGGGAAUAUUGCACAAUGGGGGAAACCCUGAUGCAGCGACGCCGCGUGGAGGAAGAAGGUCUUCGGAUUGUAAACUCCUGUUGUGGAGGAAGAUAAUGACGGUACUCAACAAGGAAGUGACGGCUAACUACGUG